rnacentral:rRNA from 1 species
ACGCUGGCGGCGUGCCUAAUACAUGCAAGUCGAACGCACUCUCGUUUAGAUUGAAGGAGCUUGCUCCUGAUUGAUAAACAUUGAGUGAGUGGCGGACGGGUGAGUAACACGUGGGUAACCUGCCCUAAAGUGGGGGAUAACAUUUGGAAACAGAUGCUAAUACCGCAUAAAACCUAACACCGCAUGGUGUAGGGUUGAAAGAUGGUUUCGGCUAUCACUUUAGGAUGGACCCGCGGUGCAUUAGUUAGUUGGUGAGGUAAAGGCUCACCAAGACCGUGAUGCAUAGCCGACCUGAGGGGUAAUCGGCCACACUGGGACUGAGACACGGCCCAGACUCCUACGGGAGGCAGCAGUAGGGAAUCUUCCACAAUGGACGAAAGUCUGAUGGAGCAACGCCGCGUGAGUGAAGAAGGUUUUCGGAUCGUAAAACUCUGUUGUUGGAGAAGAAUGUAUCUGAUAGUAACUGAUCAGGUAGUGACGGUAUCCAACCAGAAAGCCACGGCUAACUACGUG